UAUCCACAUGAUGCACAUAUAUCCAGAAAUAAUAAUAUUCCGAGCACUGUUUAUUACUCAAUACACCACCAGCACUUUGAACCAAUUUUAAAAAUCACGAGAAAAAUUUUUGUUUAAAAAAAAGUGAAAAAUAAAAGUGCGACGUCCUCUCGGUUCGCCGGAAGAGAGCAAAUACAUUGGGACACAGGGGGACGUGGAACAGAAAUGCGGAAUAAAAGAAAAAAAGGGUAACACGUGGCACAGAGGGAAGACAAGUGGAAGUGGAGAUGAAGAAGUGUGGGUGGGAGGGAGAAGUGAUUGUGUAUGUGUGGACUGUACGUGAUUGUCGUUGUAAAAAUAAAAUAUUCCUGACGUAUCAGAGGUGAUUCGCUUCCUCCAACAUGACGAUAAUUUUUUUAAACAUUUUUUUUUACUGUUGUCAAUGGGAAAUUGAGUUAAUUCCCAUUUUGUAGUGGAGCGCAAGACAUGUAGCUUUCGGGGACGAAUUGUCUUUUUUCUUGAGUUUUUCUUCGAUACGAAGGGACGCAAUGCAAUUAUUAUUGACAUCCUCUUUGGAGGACGGGAGUAACAAAUGUUUCUGGGCCCUAUCGCCAGAUAAAAAUCCCUGUGAAUUUUUUUGGGUCAUUUUUUAAACAAAUUUAAAAACAUAUAUUGAACUGAAUUUAUUGACUGAAAUUGACUGAGCUCUUCUAUCAAUCUCCGCAAAAAAUUUCCGAAUGAACAAUUCCCUAUCUCCCCCGGAUUUUUUAGGGAUUCUCCCCGGGGUGAAAAUCCUCCCCUCUUGAUCAUUGAAUUUUCCUCAAUUUGUGAUAUUAAAACUCACCCGUGUGUGGGAAAUCUGUGCUGAAGAUGCUGUGGCUCGUAGUACUGGGUUGUGAGGGCUCUCUCAUCCAACGUGUGUUCAGUCGCGUGUGCUUUCGCUGCGGAUUUGAUAUCCAUGAACGCAACCGUCGCUGAAGCACCGGUACUCGAUGUACCACUGCUGCCUGUGCUACCUGAGCCACCUCCAGUGCCACCCUCGUUUCCCUCGCCGAUUGUACCACCGGAACCACCGUCCACGGGGCAUUCCUCGCCCCGUGGCAACAACUUGACGCUCUGCACGCGUCCAUACCUGUUAACGAUCAAUAAUAAAUGAAUUAAUUGUCUGAUAAGUGAUAAUAUUUACUGUCAUCAAGAAAAAAAACAAAAAUAUUCAGCAACAAAUGACGGAAACUUAA